rnacentral:rRNA from 1 species
UGAACGCUGGCGGAAUGCUUUACACAUGCAAGUCGACCGGCAGCACGGGGGCAGCCCUGGUGGCGAGUGGCGAACGGGUGAGUAAUACAUCGGAGCGUGCCCGGUCGUGGGGGAUAACGUAGCGAAAGUUACGCUAAUACCGCAUACGAUCUGAGGAUGAAAGCGGGGGACCUUCGGGCCUCGCGCGAUCGGAGCGGCCGAUGUCAGAUUAGGUAGUUGGUGGGGUAAAGGCCUACCAAGCCGACGAUCUGUAGCUGGUCUGAGAGGACGACCAGCCACACUGGGACUGAGACACGGCCCAGACUCCUACGGGAGGCAGCAGUGGGGAAUUUUGGACAAUGGGCGCAAGCCUGAUCCAGCCAUUCCGCGUGCAGGACGAAGGCCUUCGGGUUGUAAACUGCUUUUGUACGGAACGAAAAGGCUCUGGCUAAUACCUGGGGCUCAUGACGGUACCGGAAGAAUAAGCACCGGCUAACUACGUG